rnacentral:tRNA from 1 species
GGACCGGUGGCAGAGCCGGGUUAUCGCAGCGUCCCGAGUCGGUCUGGUGCACGCGCCGUGACUGGGAGACGCGUGGGGCCACUGGCGUGCCAUGCCCCACCAGGGGUUCAAAUCCCCUCCGGUCCG